ACCCCAAAUAUAAAGUUUAAACUUUUAUUAGAA
rnacentral:tRNA from 2 species